CCUUCUGCAAUCUAUGGUUAAUUUUCAAAAGCCUGGAACACACUCUGCAGUCGCUAACUGUGGUGUUUUCCCUCAACAGGGCAGAGUUGGGCCCAUGCUGAAGACUUUUGAAAACGCUGCUCUGCAAUUGUGGAUCUGGUCCCGUCGGCUCUUGCAAACUCAGUAAUGUUUCACCGCCGUAAGAGACAGCAAAGUCUGACAGCUCUACUCCUCUCCAGCUUUGGAAGAUGCAGGCAUCACAAAGCCUUAAAACCUGGUUCCUGAAAUGGCUGUCACGACUGAGAAAGAGGGGACGGAGCGGUUGAGCUACGGGGUGGUGACGUCUGCCAUCUGCCUUCCCAGCUGAGGAGACUGCGGGUAACCGUGCCUCUAGUAAGGUCCACGCCUGCGUAGAGCUGCUGUGACUCCUGCAUGGACAGCCCAGCUGAACUGAGAUGCCUUUGAACCCCUGGAAGCUGGUUUCCACCAGGAGGUGCCACUGUGCAUUACCCAUGGACUGAGCGUUGGCUCUGCUCCACAUCACGCAUGAGAGGGACUGCGAAAGAAGAACGGGCAGAGUGAAAUUCCACCCAAGGCAUUUUCAUUCAGCCAUGACCCAAAUUCCCACAUUGGCUACUGGUGCUCUACUCUCUAAACAGGCCCACUCCGGCUUUGUGGAGGGGGCGAGAGCCUGCAUAUGCAAAACGUGUACACAGCAAACGUGUGUCUGCUGUGCUGCCGUGUUCCAGUCCAGAAAGACAGCGUUCGCCUGCACGCCUCUGUCUUCUUCGUGGAGCUCCUAGGACAUAAAAGCGACUCUCUCUGCCAAGCAAAGAACUGACAUAGAGAUGAAGACACUGUCAUUGUGGAUGAAGCAGGUCGCGGAAGAUGAAAG